UAGGGAAUCUUCGGCAAUGGACGAAAGUCUGACCGAGCAACGCCGCGUGAGUGAAGAAGGUUUUCGGAUCGUAAAACUCUGUUGUUAGAGAAGAACAAGGACGUUAGUAACUGAACGUCCCCUGACGGUAUCUAACCAGAAAGCCACGGCUAACUACGUGCCAGCAGCCGCGGUAAUACGUAGGUGGCAAGCGUCGUCCGGUAUUAUUGGGCGUAAAGCGAGCGCAGGCGGUUUCUUAAGUCUGAUGUGAAAGCCCCCGGCUCAACCGGGGAGGGUCAUUAGAAACUGGGAGACUUGAGUGCAGAAGAGGAGAGUGGAAUUCCAUGUGUAGCAGUAAAAUGCGUAGAUAUAUGGAGGAACACCAGUGGCGAAGGCGGCUCUCUGGUCUGUAACUGACGCAGAGGCUCGAAAGCGUGGGGAUCAAACAGG
rnacentral:rRNA from 1 species